ACAGAUGUGCCAGUAAGUUAUGGAGUAGGAGCACUGCAGCAUUAGGUGAUUUAGAGUUUCAUUGGUUUCAUUGCACAAUGGACAGUUUUUGAAUGUAGUGAUGCCUUAUUUAAUGAGGUUCUCUUUAAUUAAGACUCUAUCCUGGAAAGCAAGCUAGAAAAAUAGUUUUGCUUUCUCCAAAAUUGGGAGGCUCCAAAAUCAUUGUCCUAAAGGUGAGAUUAUGCCUCCAUUUAAGAGAAAAUUGUAGCAGGAUCGGACGUUGUAGACACCAAUAGAGCUCCAUUUCCAUUGCCAGAUAUUAGGCUCAAAGGUGCGGGAGAUAUUUAGCAGGAUGGUUGAGAGAUGUUGAAGUUCACUGUGAGCUUGAGAGGUAAUGGGAUGUCGGAAGGAUGCCCUCAAAAUUACUUGCUGUAAGAAAUCAGAAAUAGAGCAGUUUGGGUUCGUUGCAAAGAAGUAC
rnacentral:lncRNA from 1 species